GACGAACGCUGGCGGCGUGCUUAACGCAUGCAAGUCGAACGGAAAGGCCCUGCUUUUGUGGGGUGCUCGAGUGGCGAAAGGGUGAGUAACACGUGAGUAACCUGCCCUUGACUUUGGGAUAACUUCAGGAAACUGGGGCUAAUACCGGAUAGGAGCUCCUGCUGCAUGGUGGGGGUUGGAAAGUUUCGGCGGUUGGGGAUGGACUCGCGGCUUAUCAGCUUGUUGGUGGGGUAGUGGCUUACCAAGGCUUUGACGGGUAGCCGGCCUGAGAGGGUGACCGGCCACAUAGGGACUAGGUAACGGCCCAGACUCCUACGGGAGGCAGCAGUGGGGAAUAUUGCACAAUGGGCGGAAGCCUGAUGCAGCAACGCCGCGUGCGGGAUGACGGCCUUCGAGUUGUAAACCGCUUUCGCCUGUGACGAUGCGUGAGUGACGGUAAUGGGUAAAGAAGCACCGGCUAACUACGUG
rnacentral:rRNA from 1 species